GCCCACGCUAGGGGGUAGAGUAGACUCAUCUCCGGGUGUUGACGACACCCCGACCCCA
rfam:Culex flavivirus isolate M-20, complete genome